rnacentral:rRNA from 1 species
UACGUAGGGUGCGAGCGUUGUCCGGAAUUAUUGGGCGUAAAAGGGCUCGUAGGCGGUUUGUCGCGUCGGGAGUGAAAUCCACUGGCUUAACUGGUGGCUUGCUUUCGAUACGGGCAGACUGGAGGUAUGCAGGGGAGAACGGAAUUCCUGGUGUAGCGGUGAAAUGCGCAGAUAUCAGGAGGAACACCGGUGGCGAAGGCGGUUCUCUGGGCAUGUCCUGACGUGAGGAGCGAAAGUGUGGGGAGCGAACAGG